GUAUUCUAUCAACCCUCUCAUCACUGUUCUCAGAUCUGAAUUCGAGUCGACGAGCAGAGAGAAUCCCCGACGAUGCCAGGGAGCAAAAUUCCGAGCUUUUCAUCGGCCUCCGAGCUUGGAUCUGCCGUCGUCGAUGAUCUAGAGAUUGCUGGGAGGUGCCAGGGUUCAUCCACCAGCCGGAAGCGAUCUAGAUCUCAAUCAGCGCUGAGGAGCUCGAUCAAGAACGUUCCCUCUCCUGCUAAAAGGAUACCUCCUCGUAGAUCCAGCAAUGCUAUAGUGGAUUCUAAAGGAGAAAUAAAAUUGGAUCUGCAGCAGUGCUGUGAUGAUUCCAAUGGAGAACCCAUGGUGGUGUCCUCUCCGAAAAUUUUGAGGGAGGAGAGAUCCUCUGAUCCCUGCUUUCAGAGGUCCACAUGGAACCCAAGAGAUCCUACACAGAUCCAAGCUGUGAAGGAAGCACUCCAUGUGGCCUCGGCCCCAUAUAACAUUGUAUGCCGUGAAGAUGAACAAAAAAGUAUUCUUGAUUUUUGUAAAACUUGCAUCGAACAAGAUAAAUCAGGAAGCUUGUAUGUGUGUGGAUGCCCUGGAACUGGAAAGUCAUUGUCUGUUAAAAAAGUGAAAGAGCUUCUUGUGCUGUGGGCAAAAGAGGCCGGAUUUCAGACACCAGAAGUAUUAUCCAUUAACUGUACCUUGCUCACAAAGGCAUCUGAAAUUUUCAGCAAGGUGAUUGAAAAAUUCCAUCCUCACUUGAGGAAUAAUAGUUGCUCACCUCUUCAAGACCUCCAGAAACUCUAUUCUCAAAAGAGACAAUUGUCUUCUGGGAAAAUGAUGAUGAUCAUCGUUGAUGAGAUGGACUACUUGAGAACAAGAGAUCAUCAAGUGCUUCAUGAUCUUUUCAUGCUCUCAACUCUUCCUUACUCUCAAUGUAUACUAAUAGGAAUAGCAAAUGCAAUAGACCUAGCAGAUCGGUUUCUUCCAAGGCUUGAAUCUCUGAAUUGUAAGCCUAAUGUUGUGGCAUACUGUGCAUAUUCUAAAGAUCAGAUCCUCAAGAUUAUCCAGCAGAGGCUGAUUGCUCUUGGAUAUGACAUCUUUGAACCAAUAGCACUUGAAUUUUGUGCAAGAAAAGUAGCGGCUGCUUCUGGGGACAUGAGAAAAGCUCUUGAUGUUUGCAGAAGUGCAAUUGAAGUUUUUGAGGCAGAACUGAGGCUUGCUACCAACAAGGAAGAGCUUAAAAUUGUAAGAUUUGAUCAUAUGGACAUUGCGUUGUCCAGGGCUUUCAAGCCAUUGAUAGUGGAUACAAUACAAUCUCUUCCUCAACACCAACAGAUUAUAUUGUGCUCUGUAGUGAAAUUCUUCUGGCAAUGCAAGAAAAAUGCUACGACGCUUGGAGAGCUCAACCGUUCUUAUUCAGAAAUUUGUAAGGACAGCCAUAUCCCUCCGGUAGGAAUGCUUGAAUUUACAAAUAUGUGUAGAGCAUUGAGUGAUCAGGGGCUUUUAAAUGUUGGCCAAUCUAAAGAAAUUAAACAGAAGAGAGUGACCCUACAGAUAGAUGGUUCAGAUGUCAGAUUUGCUCUUAAGGAAAUACGAUUCUUUAAUAAUUGCUUGGAAUCCUAUAACAAAUAAAUGAAAGAUGAACAUGAUGAAAAGUUUGUUGAUGUUGGGAUCAUGGUCUGCAUUAUGGAUGGCUUUCUACAGAAAAAACUUUAUGAAUUGUUAAUGAAGAUGGCAUAGCUGCUUUGCUGUAAGUGACUCAAUGCUUAUUCUUUUGAGCAAACCUAGUAAUGUGUUUCCAUGGAAAAUGUACAAAAAAAUUUCUAUGUUGUUUGCUUGCAAUGCAAACGGGUAGGUUCAAGCGGGAGUGCUAUUAUAGACUUGAGAGUGGUAAAGUGUAACGUUAGUGUAUUCUUUUUUUUAGACAUUGAAAUAUCAUAAUACAAAGCAUUAUUUAUCUGUCAA